rnacentral:rRNA from 1 species
UACGUAGGGACCAAGCGUUGUCCGGAUUUAUUGGGCGUAAAGAGCUCGUAGGCGGCUCGUUGCGUCGGCUGUGAAAACCCGCAGCUCAACUGUGGGCUUGCAGCUGAUACGGGCGGGCUGGGAUUCGGUAGGGGAGACUGGAAUUCCUGGCGUAGCGGUGAAAUGCGCAGAUAUCAGGAGGAACACCGGUGGCGAAGGCGGGUCUCUGGGCCGAUAUCGACGCUGAGGAGCGAAAGCGUGGGGAGCGAACAGG